rnacentral:rRNA from 1 species
UACAGAGGCCACAAGCGUUAUUCGGAAUCACUGGGCUUAAAGGGUGCGUAGGCGGCGUUGUAAGUGUUCUGUGAAAGCCCCCGGCUCAACCGGGGAACAGCAGGGCAUACUGCAAUUCUCGAGGAACGUAGGGGCGGGCAGAACAGUAGGUGGAGCGGUGAAAUGCGUAGAUAUCUACUGGAAUGCCGAUGGGGAAGCCGGCCCGCUGGGCGUUUCCUGACGCUGAGGCACGAAAGCGUGGGGAUCAAACAGG